rnacentral:rRNA from 1 species
UACAGAGGUCCCGAGCGUUGUUCGGAUUCACUGGGCGUAAAGGGUGCGCAGGUGGCCUUGUAAGUUUGAUGUGAAAUCUCCGGGCUUAACCCGGAAGAGGCAUUGAAUACUGCGGUGCUGGAGGUUUGGAGGGGGGACUGGAAUUCUCGGUGUAGCAGUGAAAUGCGUAGAUAUCGAGAGGAACACCAGUGGCGAAGGCGAGUCCCUGGACAACACCUGACGCUGAGGCACGAAAGCUAGGGGAGCAAACAGG